rnacentral:siRNA from 1 species
GAUGUCAUCACUUGUCACAAAU